GUGAAUCAUCAAAUUUUUGAACGCAAAUUGCACUCUCCGGUUCUCCGGGAGAGUAUGCCUGUUUGAGGGUCAGCCUAAAAAAAAUCGACAUUGUUGCUGUUAUUUAAUGGUGACUUUCGUCGGAGAUUGGGUUAUCUUAAACCUUUUUUUUUUUGUGUUAACGACUUAAAAUUUUUUUUCUCAAUUCCAUAAAAGUUUUUA
rnacentral:misc_RNA from 1 species